CCGGGGAGGGAAGACGCUUCCCCGGGGCGCGGGAAGGUUUGAACCGCCGUCGGUUUCCUGCGCUUUCUCUGCGGGCUCGUAGCCGGCGCCGCCGCUCUCUCCCGCUGCCCUGACACGACCGACGUCUCGGCCAAGACGCUCUCUCUGUGGCCUUAUUCCUCUGCGGUGGUGAUUGUUUUCUCCCGUCAAGAAACAUCACUUUUUGGUAAUUUGUCAAAUUCUAGAAACCUCCCUGGAGAAGCAGUCGUGGGCAGGCUUCAAGCGUUUUGGCAAAUUAAAGGGGCCGUUGAUUGGCCUCGUCUCCACGACUUUCCUCCCCGGACUGCCGUGUGAGCCCAGGACGUUGCUGGUUGUUUUGGACGUCUUAUCCGUAGACCCAGUCAUGGCAGCUGAAGUACGAAUGGUACUUUAUGAAGAUGAUUCAGUGCAAGUGCAAUAUGUUGAUGGUUCCAGACUGCAGCUUUCUCCAUGUGGCUCUGAAUUUUUAUUUGAAAAGGCACCUCCUGUUUCAGCACAUCCUUUGGAACAACCAGAAAGAAUUCGUCAAAGGACACACUUUGUUAUUAGCACUUACCGAGAGCAACUACAGCGAGCCCUAGAUUUUCGAAAUUCUUUUGCUGUUUGCCCUUUUUUAUCUGAAAGCAUCAUACCUUCUGAAAGGAAAAAGCGUAUUUUCAUUGACUUCUCAGAAGUGAGAUGGCCCAGUGGCGACACUGAUGAUGGCAUAAUAUGUAUGCAGAGUGGCACCGUGAAGAUAUCAUCAUUAGAUGGGCACGCAUACCUUUGCCUGCCCAAAUUGCAGCAUGAAUUUAUAGUACAUUUUUUGUGUAAAGUAAGCCAGAAGCCAGACUCGUCUGUAGUAUUGUCAGAAAAGAAGAAUCAAGCCAGAAAGGAUAAACUAGUUGAAAAAGCAGGCAAAAUUUGUACAUAUGGAAGUUUAUCGAGACAGAGACUGAAGAAUAAAGAAAAUGAGCUCUAUUGUCAGAUCACGAAAUCCAAGGAACCUUUACAGAAGAAGAGCUGUGUAAAUGGAGCCGAAGGGAAGGAGGAUGCACCUCUUCCUAGUACAAAACACACAUGUGUAUACACGUGGGUGAAGCAGUGCUGGCCUGUGGCCUCCUGUCCAGAGGAGUGGAGAUAUCCUUUGUCUCUAGCACUUCGUUUUCAUAAUAAAAUCAGCAGCAUGUCUGGAAUUGAUGCAGAUAUCACCCAGAGUAGAACUUUAACUUCUGAUAUUUCAGAGGAAAGAGGAAAAGAGGUUUCUGUUCUUCCCAGGGCCCUGUUACUCAGCUGUCCUGUCCCCCACCUACACAGAUGGGAUUUUUGCGAUUCACUUUCACAGAGACCGUUUGAUGAAGAAUAUUCCUAUCCUGAAUUAGUAAAAGUGGUCUGGUACAAAGGUGUAACUUAUCGACUAACCCAUAAAAAUGUGAACUCAAUAGAGAUUUAUCCUGGAGAUGGAUCUGUUUUCAAAUCAGAGGGAGCUUAUCUUGGGAAGUAUUUUACAUAUUAUUCCAUUCAAGAAGGAUCAGAAGAGAGAGAAGAGAAAACUUAUUCAGUAAAUAACCUUCCUCCUGAUAGACCAGGAAGUCUGUUCUCUGUGUAUUCCCUAAUUAAACAGGCAACCGGAAUUCUUCAACACUGUGCCAAGACAAGGCUUUCCUUAAGCCAUAACUAUCGUAUAUGCUGCUGGAAGAUGGUGCCUGGGAUAAAUGAUAGCAAUAUAUUGCCUGUGCUUUUGAGAGAAUCGGUCAUACCCAGCGUGGGAAGAUUUCUUGCAUACUCUGAUGACAAAGUACAUGCUCUCUUUCUAGAUGGCAUCACUCUAACCUUAAACUGGAAUUUCAGCUCUUUGACUGAAAAGAGACAGGUAAAUCAAGGUCUCAAUUUAGGUUGGUGUAAAUUAACUUUUCCUGAUGGACAAGAUCAGUUAAUUCAGAUUGAACACCCUGGACCAUAUGAAAGAUAUGUGACAGCAGUUAUAUCAUGGUGCAGAAGACUGACCCAGACUAGUCAGAGAGAGAUGUCCACACAUCCUUCAUCUUCUGUUCUUGAAGAAAAUUGGUCUGUGGCCUCUGAACUUGAAAAGAUAAAGAAGUUUAACUUGUUAUUGGAAAAUAGUGGUAUCCUAAACCAGAUUUCUAACAAAAAAAAUGAACAGUCAUCUGACCAUUGUGAACCAAAAUCUUCAGAGACCUUGCUGGAAGAAGUUAAUGAAAAGAGAGUAUCAGUGGCAUUGAAAAAAACCUCUGAAAUCCUUCAGGAUAUUGACUAUCUUCUAUCAAAUUCUAAAAAGUGAAAAAUGGAAUUAUAAACCUUAAGGAUAUUUCAAGUGACUAGUAUAAAAUUACUAUGGAGUCUUUGUCACCGGCUAAAAAUCAAGAGUGUGACAAUCAACGAACGGUCCAAUCGCUGAGACACGGAGCCACACUUUAGGGUUCUGCGAGAGGGAGAGACCGAGCGCGACCGAGUUAUUAGCCCUUGAGAUUGAAGACCUCACUUUUUACCACAGAAACUUACAACUAAAAUUAAUAUCGUGCCACUACUGCCUUUGCUUCCCAUCUGCCCCUUGUUUUGAGAAACUGUAAGUAGGGAAAAAGGAGACAAUGCCCCCCUUUUGAGCCCAUUCUUUUGCACCCGUGCUUCCUAGAGCCAAUGCCAAGCUAGACAUCCUGGUGCCCACUCAGGCAGGAAGACAGCCUGGGACCUGGCCAUUGUCUCAUUGAACAGCUGCCUCUUAGGUCGCCCGGGUGGCUCAACGGUGGAGCGUGCGCCUUCCGCCCAGGGUGUGAUCCUGGAGACCCGGGAUCGAGUCCCGCGUCGGGCUCCCUGCGUGGAGCCUGCUCCUCCUCCCUCUGCCUGUGUCUCUG